CUUGUAAUUUUCAUAAUGCUUAAUGAGUCAGUAGAAGCCCUGUCAUUGCAGAACUGAUGGGUACAUUAUUUGUCUUUUUUUUUGUUUACUUGAUCUUUAAUCUCAAACAUUGUUACAUGAUUGCAUGUGUUUCUUGAACAUAUAAACAAAACCAAAAAAAGGUAACUCACCGCCAUUCAAAAUAAUAAUACUGUAAUUUACUUUAAGAUGGUUUCGAAAAAG